ensembl:lncRNA
CUGCUUUGUGUUUUUAACAUGCUUUACAUUCAGGCAAGUCAAGUUUGAGUUCUGAGUUGGUCAAAAUGAAAAAAGGGACACCAGUAAAUGUCCUUUUAAUUUGUGAUCUGCUCUUAUUUUCAUGAGCUUCACCACUCUUUAAGUAGCACUGUAAAAAUGGAAAUGAUCAAUAUAUUACAAGUAACGAGUGUUGCUGAAUUUUGUGAUGCUGUUUGUGUGGCUACUACAGAUGUAUUGCUGCAUCUGCCACCUCCAUGAGAGUGGGUUGUUAUCUGGCCUCUGUGCCAGGCUGUUAUUAUUUUAUGUCAUAGCCCUUAUUGGAUGCAGUAAUUUGACUUAGUUUGACCUCUAUCGUGACAUGAACUUCCUCUUUGUCAUUUUCCUAUUGUUUAUUUAUUUUUUUAUUUUUUAACAAGUCCUGUCCUAUACAGAUGGUGUUUGCUUGUUAUUAAUUCAAGCUUUUGUGCUGGGAAAACUGUGUACAGGUGUUUCAGCCCUUCAUGGUGCUAUUGAGGACAAAUCCAGUCCACAUCGUUUAAUGCUGGCAGUCAGUAAGGUGAGUAAUGACUGGCCAGUAAACUGGUGCAUCCUCAAAAGUUUUAUGCUAUGUCAUGUUAUCAUGUUCUGUAGCCAGUGGGAGCUCUUUUGGUUGAGGUCCCGGUAGGGUGACCAGGUCCUAGCAAACGUUUGUGCUGGACGAUGUGGAACAAGUUACUAAAGUUAUAGAGUGGGCUGAAUUUUUAAUUUAUCUAUCUUUGAAAAUGUCUUAUGAAACUAAGUAGAACAUAAAUCUUGUGUCUCAUGUGGAACACUUGUGUAUCCUCCUCUUCUGUUUCACUGGUAGCUGAUGAUCAGCAGUUUUCAGGUCUUUGGCUUGCAAUGGCGACAAGCCAAAAAAGUCACAUGAUUCUAUUGAGAUAUUUGUUCUCCUUUAUGUGAUGUUUUCAUGAUUUAAGUUGUUAUACACCACCUGAUUUAUUAACAAAAAAUCACUCUGUUUCACUGGGCUGCCUUAUAGGGCACAUUCACCAUGGCAUUGUUUAGCUUAAGCUUGUACAGUGUCACAACUUUUGCUGCAUGAGGUUUUCUC